ACCAUUUAGGUCUGAGUUGGAUGUAUUUAUUAUAUAUAUAUGUAUAUUCUUAUUAUAUUAAGAAAUAUAGUGAUAAAUCUGGGGAUAUUACAAAAUCCCGUGAUAGGACAGAUUAUCUCGCGAGAUAGUGGUCACGUCACGCGUUCUUCCGGAAGUUCAUUCAAACACGAGGAGCGAUUACGAGGGAGUUUUGUCUAUAUAUCAUUCAAAAUCUACUGUGGGGUAAGUACAUUGUGUAUUAUUUGAUUAACGUGCUUAAGUUUUACUUCUUUGACACGAAGGCUCCGAAAUAAACGUUGCCAGAAUUGUCCACACUGAGUAUGGCAAAAAUUAGCUAGAAGGCUAAAAGCUAACGUACUUUGAACUUAGGGAUACAGUCAAAGUUAUUACUGUAACGUAUUAAUGUAGCCUCUUGAAAGUCUCUUUCAGAAAGUAAAUUAUCUGAAAAAUAAAAGUUAUUUGGCAUUAAUGGAAUUACAAUGAUUUGAUUGCCUAAACAUUGCACAUGCAAAAUAUUAAAUACUGUUUUGCAUUAAAAGUUUAGCAGAAGUUUUUGUUUGAUUAACUUCCUUUGCUUUUGUUUUGUACAAAGGAAAAGCAGAACCUCAUCCAAAUAAAAAUAAACAAACUGUGAAAGGCACUGUGUCCUACACAGACCGUCCAAAAUAUAACCACCCAAAACCCAAGUCAGUUGAAGAUCAACACAAACCAAAUAAAGAUGUGCAUUUUACAAACAAUAAAAAAAGAUCAAGUUUUGUGUCCACCACACUUAGAUGAGGCGUGCCUGACUUUGUCUACCCUACAUUAAGUUGCACACUUCAUGACAGUAAACAUCGGUAUCACAAUGGUGUGAUUGAUCUAUACCCUAGGCCUAGAAUAAGCUGUGACACUAUGAGACGGUCACAUAAUGAACAGCCAUCUUACAGACAACUGAAAGAGGCAUAGUAUUGUUUUCUUGUGUAUUGUCAUACACCUAAAGAGGAUUUUUGUAAUCGUACAGUUAUGGUGUUAUUCAUUCAUAAAUGUGUCCUUUCUUACCUUAAAUAACUUAUCAUUUUUCACAUCUUUUGUUUUUAAUGUCUAUAUA